AUCGAGCAUUAAGCUGCGUUUCCACCAGGUAUGUGUUGCGAGGAAUGUUUUUUAAGAUCAAAUAGUCAGAAAAAACACCUCACGUAAUUUGUGGACCCUAAGAGGGUAUUUUACAAAAAAAAAUGUUAUGUAUUUAAUCAGUAUUUGAGUAUGAGGUCUCGUUAGUGCCAUGUUGUUUCGACGAUCGUUUAGAUAGCCUCUAAUAAAUUAAUGCACAAAUGUAAAUUAAUGUUAUCUAUUAAUUAUAUUUAAAUAAAGUAUUAUUAAAAAUUAAAAACGUU